GACGAACGCUGGCGGCGUGCCUAAUACAUGCAAGUAGAACGCUGAAGCGAGGAGCUUGCUCUUCUUGGAUGAGUUGCGAACGGGUGAGUAACGCGUAGGUAACCUGCCUUGUAGCGGGGGAUAACUAUUGGAAACGAUAGCUAAUACCGCAUAACAAUGGAUGACACAUGUCAUUUAUUUGAAAGGGGCAAUUGCUCCACUACAAGAUGGACCUGCGUUGUAUUAGCUAGUAGGUGAGGUAAUGGCUCACCUAGGCGACGAUACAUAGCCGACCUGAGAGGGGGGUCGGCCACACUGGGACUGAGACACGGCCCAGACUCCUACGGGAGGCAGCAGGAGGGAAUCUUCGGCAAUGGGGGCAACCCUGACCGAGCAACGCCGCGGGAGUGAAGAAGGGUUUCGGAUCGGAAAGCUCUGUUGUAAGUCAAGAACGGGUGUGAGAGUGGAAAGUUCACACUGUGACGGUAGCUUACCAGAAAGGGACGGCUAACUACGUG
rnacentral:rRNA from 1 species